UGAGGAAUAUUGGUCAAUGGGGCGAGAGCCUGAACCAGCCAAGUAGCGUGCAGGACGACGGCCCUAUGGGUUGUAAACUGCUUUUAUAUGGGGAUAAAGUGAGUUACGUGUAGCUUAUUGCAGGUACCAUAUGAAUAAGGACCGGCUAAUUCCGUGCCAGCAGCCGCGGUAAUACGGAAGGUCCAGGCGUUAUCCGGAUUUAUUGGGUUUAAAGGGAGCGUAGGCCGCCCCUUAAGCGUGUUGUGAAAUGCCGCGGCUCAACCGUGGCACUGCAGCGCGAACUGGGGGGCUUGAGUGCACGCAAACGC
rnacentral:rRNA from 1 species